AAUGCGCUAAGUAGUGUGAAUUGCAGAAUUCAGUGAAUCAUCGAAUCUUUGAACGCACAUUGCGCCCCUUGGUAUUCCAUGGGGCAUGCCUGUUCGAGCGUCAUUUGUACCCUCAAGCUCUGCUUGGUGUUGGGUGUUUGUCCCCGUCUCCGCGCGUGGACUCGCCCCAAAGUGAUUGGCAGCCGGCGUACUGGUCCCGGAGCGCAGCACAUGUCGCGCAAACGAGUGCCUUGGUACGGCGGCGUCCAUAAGCCCCUCUCUCACGCUCUUGACCUCGGAUCAGGUAGGGAUACCCGCUGAACUUAAGC
rnacentral:misc_RNA from 1 species